GGGAAACAUUCGGCUGGGGCCGUUUGGGCUUUGCUUGACUUCGGACCCUGCAAAUCGACCCGACUCCACUGAGCCACCUUGUCAGGUCCACCCUGGCACUUCCUGCUGUAAAGCCAAGGUGAAAGCUUCCGUUUGAGGAAAUGAGACUUCUCUUUACUAACUGGAGUUUAGGGGGAGUCAUGCAUGCGUCUGGGAGUGCAAGCACCCCAGGAAGUUGUGAUUUUCUUGCACGGGACGUGCAGGCUGGCGUGCUGGAGUGGAGCCUGGUGAGUGAGCGCAGAGCCAAGCCGUGUGCUGCUCCCCCCAGGCAGUCCACUUGGCAUGCCUUCUGGCCCUGGGCUGGACACAGGGGCUGGGGUCCCACCCACUGUGACAGCUUGGAGUACCAGAGGCUUGGGCCGCCACAAAGGCAUUUGAGCUCAUUAAUGCAGUAGACGUGCUCCCUUUCUGAGAUGUCCUCGGGGCAGGGGCCCGGAGGGUGGCCAUUCUGGUGUCCUGAGAGGUGUGAGAUGCAUUGAUGAGGCACUCAGGGUAGAUGGGAGGCCCUGGGUCCCAUCUGCAGCUCUGUUGUCCCUGCGUGUUCACAGGCAUGCGUGUCCAUCCACUAACUGUAACCUGCACGCUUCGUGACCCAGACAUCCUUGUGAAAUGCGUGUUUCUUCAAACUUAGGAACAGCACCAUUAAUUUGGAAUGACAGUGCCAACUCCCAGGAACUGAGGAUUUACUCUGUUAUUUUGGUUUUAGUUCUUCAUGUGAGAUGGUAAAACUUGAAGAGAAAUUCCAUGGAAGAUUGUAUUAAUAUCAUUAAUUGCUAGAUUAUCAGUAGCAGGAAAUGUAUCACUAGACUGUGAUAGACACACACACACAUAAAUAUAUACCUACUACUUUAUGGUAGAAAGACAAACAGCCUAGUUCCAUGACUUUCCAAUUUUUGGAGUGUUUGCAGUUUGUUGACUUUGUUGCUAGUAAAUCUAAUGUGGUCUUUUUCAACAAUGGACCUUCGGCGUUCGCUAUUUCUAUGCUGGUUUGAUGAAUUAGUUGAUAAGUCGGAUAUUGUAUUCUCAAGAUCAAAAUUGUAUUUCUAUGUCAGCAUGUCAGUGAACAUGCAUUUAGAGUGUGAUGGAGAAAAUAAAU
rnacentral:lncRNA from 1 species